AUGCUGGAGGUAUCAGAAGUGCGAAUGCUGACAUAAGUAACGAUAAAGCGGGUGAAAAGCCCGCUCGCCGGAAGACCAAGGGUUCCUGUCCAACGUUAAUCGGGGCAGGGUGAGUCGACCCCUAAGGCGAGGCCGAAAGGCGUAGUCGAUGGGAAACAGGUUAAUAUUCCUGUACUUGGUGUUACUGCGAAGGGGGGACGGAGAAGGCUAUGUUGGCCGGGCGACGGUUGUCCCGGUUUAAGCGUGUAGGCUGGUUUUCCAGGCAAAUCCGGAAAAUCAAGGCUGAGGCGUGAUGACGAGGCACUACGGUGCUGAAGCAACAAAUGCCCUGCUUCCAGGAAAAGCCUCUAAGCAUCAGGUAACAUCAAAUCGUACCCCAAACCGACACAGGUGGUCAGGUAGAGAAUACCAAGGCGCUUGAGAGAACUCGGGUGAAGGAACUAGGCAAAAUGGUGCCGUAACUUCGGGAGAAGGCACGCUGAUAUGUAGGUGAAGCGACUUGCUCGUGGAGCUGAAAUCAGUCGAAGAUACCAGCUGGCUGCAACUGUUUAUUAAAAACACAGCACUGUGCAAACACGAAAGUGGACGUAUACGGUGUGACGCCUGCCCGGUGCCGGAAGGUUAAUUGAUGGGGUCAGCGCAAGCGAAGCUCUUGAUCGAAGCCCCGGUAAACGGCGGCCGUAACUAUAACGGUCCUAAGGUAGCGAAAUUCCUUGUCGGGUAAGUUCCGACCUGCACGAAUGGCGUAAUGAUGGCCAGGCUGUCUCCACCCGAGACUCAGUGAAAUUGAACUCGCUGUGAAGAUGCAGUGUACCCGCGGCAAGACGGAAAGACCCCGUGAACCUUUACUAUAGCUUGACACUGAACAUUGAGCCUUGAUGUGUAGGAUAGGUGGGAGGCUUUGAAGUGUGGACGCCAGUCUGCAUGGAGCCGACCUUGAAAUACCACCCUUUAAUGUUUGAUGUUCUAACGUGGACCCGUAAUCCGGGUUGCGGACAGUGUCUGGUGGGUAGUUUGACUGGGGCGGUCUCCUCCUAAAGAGUAACGGAGGAGCACGAAGGUUGGCUAAUCCUGGUCGGACAUCAGGAGGUUAGUGCAAUGGCAUAAGCCAGCUUGACUGCGAGCGUGACGGCGCGAGCAGGUGCGAAAGCAGGUCAUAGUGAUCCGGUGGUUCUGAAUGGAAGGGCCAUCGCUCAACGGAUAAAAGGUACUCCGGGGAUAACAGGCUGAUACCGCCCAAGAGUUCAUAUCGACGGCGGUGUUUGGCACCUCGAUGUCGGCUCAUCACAUCCUGGGGCUGAAGUAGGUCCCAAGGGUAUGGCUGUUCGCCAUUUAAAGUGGUACGCGAGCUGGGUUUAGAACGUCGUGAGACAGUUCGGUCCCUAUCUGCCGUGGGCGCUGGAGAACUGAGGGGGGCUGCUCCUAGUACGAGAGGACCGGAGUGGACGCAUCACUGGUGUUCGGGUUGUCAUGCCAAUGGCACUGCCCGGUAGCUAAAUGCGGAAGAGAUAAGUGCUGAAAGCAUCUAAGCACGAAACUUGCCCCGAGAUGAGUUCUCCCUGACUCCUUGAGAGUCCUGAAGGAACGUUGAAGACGACGACGUUGAUAGGCCGGGUGUGUAAGCGCAGCGAUGCGUUGAGCUAACCGGUACUAAUGAACCGUGAGGCUUAACCUU
rnacentral:rRNA from 1 species